rnacentral:tRNA from 1 species
GGUGGCUCAGCGGUAGAGUUCUUGUCUUGCAUGCAUGAGGCCCUGGGUUCGAUUCCUCAGCACCA